GAUUUGUCUGGUURAUUCCGAUAACGAACGAGACUCUGGCCUGCUAAAUAGGCCGUCGGUUUCCGCGCGACCCGGCUUCGGCGUGCCCUCGCGGUCGCCGUCGUCCGGGCCAUCGCGCGCGCCGGCGGGACUUCUUAGAGGGACGAGCGGCGUUUAGCCGCACGAGAUUGAGCAAUAACAGGUCUGUGAUGCCCUUAGAUGUCCGGGGCCGCACGCGCGCUACACUGAAGGGAUCAGCGUGGCGCCCACCCUGGCCCGAGAGGGCUGGGAAACCCGUUGAAUCCCCUUCGUGCUAGGGACCGGGGCUUGUAAUUGUUCCCCGCGAACGAGGAAUUCCCAGUAAGCGCGGGUCAUAAGCCCGCGUUGAUUACGUCCCUGCCCUUUGUACACACCGCCCGUCGCUACUAUCGAUUGAGCGGUUCAGUGAGAGCAUUGGAUCGGUCGCGGCCUGGGGUUCGCGCCCCGGCGUCCGCGUGCCGAGAAGACGUUCGAACUCGAUCGCUUGGAGAAAGUAAAAGUCGUAACAAGGUUUCCGUA
rnacentral:rRNA from 1 species